UCCCCGGCGGUCUAGUGGUUAGGACUCCGCGCUUUUACCGCUGAGGUCCUGGGUUCAAUCCCUGGUUGGGGAA